GCCGGGCGUGGUGGCGCACGCCUGUAAUCCCAGCUACUCAGGAGGCUGAGGCAGGAGAAUCGUUUGAACCCAAGAGGUGGAGGUUGCAGUGAGCCGAGAUCGCACCACUGCACUCCAGCCUGGGUGACAGAGCAAGACUCUGUCUCAA
rnacentral:SRP_RNA from 1 species